rnacentral:rRNA from 1 species
GAUGAACGCUAGCGGCAGGCCUAACACAUGCAAGUCGAGGGAGAAGCCCUUUCGGGGGCAGAAACCGGCGCACGGGUACGUAACGCGUAUGCAACCUACCUUUCACAGGGGGAUAGCCCGAAGAAAUUUGGAUUAAUACCCCAUAAUAUUAUUGGAUGGCAUCAUUUGAUAGUUAAAACUGCGGUGGUGAAAGAUGGGCAUGCGUCCUAUUAGCUAGUUGGAGUGGUAACGGCACCCCAAGGCUACGAUAGGUAGGGGUCCUGAGGGGGAGAUCCCCCACACUGGUACUGGGACAGGGACCAGACUCCUACGGGAGGCAGCAGUGAGGAAUAUUGGUCAAUGGUCGGAAGACUGAACCAGCCAUGCCGCGUGCAGGAAGAAUGCCUUAUGGGUUGUAAACUGCUUUUAUAAGGGAAGAAUAAGGCGUACGUGUACGUUGAUGACGGUACCAUAUGAAUAAGCAUCGGCUAACUCCGUG